CCUACGGGUGGCAGCAGUGGGGAAUAUUGGACAAUGGGCGAAAGCCUGAUCCAGCCAUGCCGCGUGUGUGAAGAAGGCCUUCGGGUUGUAAAGCACUUUCAGUGGGGAAGAAAGCCUUGGGGCUAAUACCCUCGAGGAAGGACAUCACCCACAGAGGAAGCACCGGCUAACUCCGUGCCAGCAGCCGCGGUAAUACGGAGGGUGCGAGCGUUAAUCGGAAUUACUGGGCGUAAAGCGCGCGUAGGCGGUCUGAUAAGCCGGUUGUGAAAGCCCCGGGCUCAACCUGGGAACGGCAUCCGGAACUGUCAGGCUAGAGUGCAGGAGAGGAAGGUAGAAUUCCCGGUGUAGCGGUGAAAUGCGUAGAGAUCGGGAGGAAUACCAGUGGCGAAGGCGGCCUUCUGGACUGACACUGACGCUGAGGUGCGAAAGCGUGGGUAGCAAACAGGAUUAGAUACCCCUGUAGUC
rnacentral:rRNA from 1 species